CUUCAGGAAUUGCGGCCGCCAAGCUCCGACUUGGCCGCGUACCAACCCCACGCUCUCUGGGUGGUUCGGAUGACGAAGCGGCCUGCAUUCGCCCUCGGGCAAAUGGUGCGGGCAAGAGCACGCG
rnacentral:ncRNA from 2 species